rnacentral:misc_RNA from 1 species
GUUAUUUCCUCUCUCUCUCUCUCUUCUUUAAAACCACUGUCAACCGAUCUCUUCUUCUAUCAGCUACUCCAAUACACACCACCACCUUCAAGCUCACAGUGUUCUUGGCUUUUGGGUUUUGAGAGAGAGAGAGAGAGCAUGGCUAAGGAGGUGAGUGAAGAAACGCAGCCUACCCAUGGGAAGGACUAUGUUGAUCCACCACCAGCUCCU